rnacentral:rRNA from 1 species
UGGGGAAUCUUGCGCAAUGGGCGAAAGCCUGACGCAGCAACGCCGCGUGGGGGAUGAAGGCCUUCGGGUUGUAAACCCCUUUCAGCAGGGACGAAUUUGACGGUACCUGCAGAAGAAGCCCCGGCCAACUACGUGCCAGCAGCCGCGGUAAUACGUAGGGUGCAAGCGUUAAUCGGAAUUACUGGGCGUAAAGCGUGCGCAGGCGGUUGGGCAAGACAGAUGUGAAAUCCCCGGGCUUAACCUGGGAAUGGCAUUUGUGACUGCCCGGCUAGAGUGUGUCAGAGGGGGGUAGAAUUCCACGUGUAGCAGUGAAAUGCGUAGAGAUGUGGAGGAAUACCGAUGGCGAAGGCAGCCCCCUGGGAUAACACUGACGCUCAUGCACGAAAGCGUGGGGAGCAAACAGGAUUAGAUACCCUGGUAGUCCACGCCCUAAACGAUGUCAACUAGUUGUCGGGUCUUAAUUGACUUGGUAACGCAGCUAACGCGUGAAGUUGACCGCCUGGGGAGUACGGUCGCAAGAUUAA